GGAGUCCUCAAUCCAGCCUAAUCUCCUGCCACUCUCAAGCACUCCCCGUGCAGCAGGCCUGAUGUGUAGGCUGCCAUGGCAAGGCUACAUCCAUGCAUUCGGUGAUUGUCUGAUCUACCAUGUGAUUUGCGGUUCAUGCGAAGUCAUGAAAUCUGGUCCGGAUAGUGACAUGAUUUACUCUGUUUGAUCAAACAGAGAGCGGGAUGAAGAGGAAGAGAGGCGAGCCUGAGCUGGAGUACGGGGCCUCGUCCGGGGUGGAUGAGAGGUCCA